rnacentral:rRNA from 1 species
AGUGAACGCUGGCGGUAGGCCUAACACAUGCAAGUCGAACGGCAGCACAGUAAGAGCUUGCUCUUACGGGUGGCGAGUGGCGGACGGGUGAGGAAUACAUCGGAAUCUACUUUUUCGUGGGGGAUAACGUAGGGAAACUUACGCUAAUACCGCAUACGACCUACGGGUGAAAGCAGGGGAUCUUCGGACCUUGCGCGAUUGAAUGAGCCGAUGUCGGAUUAGCUAGUUGGCGGGGUAAAGGCCCACCAAGGCGACGAUCCGUAGCUGGUCUGAGAGGAUGAUCAGCCACAAUGGAACUGAGACACGGUCCAGACUCCUACGGGAGGCAGCAGUGGGGAAUAUUGGACAAUGGGCGCAAGCCUGAUCCAGCCAUACCGCGUGGGUGAAGAAGGCCUUCGGGUUGUAAAGCCCUUUUGUUGGGAAAGAAAAGCAGCAGGUUAAUACCCCGCUGUUCUGACGGUACCCAAAGAAUAAGCACCGGCUAACUGCGU